GACGAACGCUGGCGGCGUGCCUAAUACAUGCAAGUCGAGCGGAUGGAAGGAAGCUUGCUUCCUAAAGUCAGCGGCGGACGGGUGAGUAACACGUGGGCAACCUGCCCCUAAGAUCGGGAUAACUUCGGGAAACCGGAGCUAAUACCGGAUAUGAUUAUGUCUCACAUGAGACAUAAUGGAAAGACGGUUUCGGCUGUCACUUAGGGAUGGGCCCGCGGCGCAUUAGCUAGUUGGUGAGGUAACGGCUCACCAAGGCGACGAUGCGUAGCCGACCUGAGAGGGUGAUCGGCCACACUGGGACUGAGACACGGCCCAGGCUCCUACGGGAGGCAGCAGUAGGGAAUCUUCCGCAAUGGACGAAAGUCUGACGGAGCAACGCCGCGUGAGUGAAGAAGGUUUUCGGAUCGUAAAACUCUGUUGUUAGGGAAGAACAAGUACCAUAGUAACUGAUGGUACCUUGACGGUACCUAACCAGAAAGCCACGGCUAACUACGUGCCAGCAGCCGCCGUAACAC
rnacentral:rRNA from 1 species